rnacentral:tRNA from 1 species
GGGGGUAUAGCUCAGUAGUACAGCGCAUGCCUAGCAAGCAUGAGUUCCUGGGUUCAAUCUCCAGUACCUCCA